CGGUGGUGAUAACGAAGGGGUCACACCUGUUCCCAUACCGAACACAGAAGUUAAGCCCUUCAGUGCCGAUGGUACUUGGCUGGAGACGGCCCGGGAGAUU
rnacentral:rRNA from 1 species